AUUGAACGCUGGCGGCAUGCCUUACACAUGCAAGUCGAACGGCAGCACGGGAGCAAUCCUGGUGGCGAGUGGCGAACGGGUGAGUAAAGUAUCGGAACGUGCCCAGUCGUGGGGGAUAACGUAGCGAAAGUUACGCUAAUACCGCAUACGAUCUAUGGAUGAGAGCGGGGGAUCGCAAGACCUCGCGCGAUUGGAGCGGCCGAUAUCAGAUUAGGUAGUUGGUGGGGUAAAGGCUCACCAAGCCGACGAUCUGUAGCUGGGCUGAGGGGACGACACGACACGAUGGGACUGGGACACGGCCGAGACUCUUCAGGGAGGCAGCAGUAGGGAAUUUUGGACAAUUAGCGCAAGCCUGCUCCAGCCAUCCCGCGUGCAGGAUGAAGGCCUUCGGGUUGUAAACUUCUUUUGUACGGAACGAAAAGGUUUGACUUAAUACGUUGGACUCAUGACGGUACCGUAAGAAUAAGCACCGGCUAACUACGUGCCAGCAGCCGCCGUAA
rnacentral:rRNA from 1 species